AUAUACUGGCAACACUGAAUGACAGGGUUUUGUACAGAAUGAAAUAUACAAUUUCCUGGGGUUUAUUUUUUGUUCUGUUUACUGAUGGAGUUUGGAGUGAGAUCAAACUGGACCAGUCUCCAUCUGAGGUGAAAAGACCUGGAGAGACAGUGAAGGUGUCAUGUAUCAUAUCUGGUUAUAGCAUGGCAAACAACUUUAUUCACUGGAUACGACAGAGGCCAGGGGAAGCUCUGGAGUGGAUUGGGAGAAUAAGCCCAUACCGCAACACUGCAAGCUACGCCAGUUCAUUUCAAAGUCGUUUCAGUUUUACUCAAGAUGUGUCCAGCAGCACUCAGUACCUCCAGGUCAACAGUCUGACAGCAGAAGAUUCUGCUGUUUACUUCUGUGCUCGAGACACAGUGACUGAAGACAGUGGAGCAGCUGCACAAAAACCUCAGACUGUGACUUGAGUGACAGUGUCUCUAUAUGUUAUUACAUUAUGGUCAAACUAACAGAGUCAGUUAUUGCAACAGUGAAAAACAUAAUUAGAAAAGUGAAAUAUGUCCAGUUCAAAAUAAAUUCAGUACAGUGGUGGAAGGUAUGAUAGGUUGUGACAACAACAAGGCCAGAUGAAUAGCUGAUGUUCUUCCUAUUUAUUCAUACAGUAUAGGCCUAUAAUUCACAUCACAAAGUUACCUUUACAACAUUAAGGCCAAUGAUCAUUGCAAUGGCAGCAGUACCUAUCAUUUCAUCCAUUUUCAUACCUUCAGUUAAGUUUUCUUUGAGCUUCUUUUGCCUUUUGGUUUUAUUCUUUCAGUUUCAGUCUCUCAUAUUCACAUUCAUUUACUGUUCAUUCACUGAGUAUUUGUAUAUUAAUUUAUCUAAUGUUUGCUUCUGAGGGACAACAACUACUGUUAAUAGCCCAACUUUAGUCCAUCUUAAAAUGAAAUGAUAGGUUCUCUUUUCUUUUACUUUUGAAAGCAGAUUUUUUCAAAUAAAACAUGUAAAUUAGGGAUUGGAGAGUAGUUAAAAUACAGUACAAACCAAGUGAAAACACUGUGGAUUAAUAGAAUAAAUGGAAGUUCAAACUGUC